GACGUAGGGCGCGAGCGUUGUCCGGAAUUACUGGGCGUAAAGAGCUCGUAGGCGGUUUGUCGCGUCGUCCGUGAAAACUUGGGGCUCAACCCCAAGCUUGCGGGCGAUACGGGCAGACUUGAGUACUGCAGGGGAGACUGGAAUUCCUGGUGUAGCGGUGAAAUGCGCAGAUAUCAGGAGGAACACCGGUGGCGAAGGCGGGUCUCUGGGCAGUAACUGACGCUGAGGAGCGAAAGCGUGGGUAGCGAACAGG
rnacentral:rRNA from 1 species